CCGCGGUGGAGGGGGUCCGGCCCCAGUGCCGCAGCGCGAUGCGAGCAGGGCCGCCGCCGCGAGCACGGCGACCAUGAGGGUGGUCCUGGCCCUGGUGGCGCUCGCCGCCGCCGCCUCGGCGCUCGCCGACCAGCACGUGGUCGUGCUGCUCAACCAGAUCGCCCCGGGCAAGCAGGCCACCAGCUCGACGGCGGCGCCCGCGGCCACCACCAAGAAGUCCGCAAAGGCAAGCAAGAGAGUCUCGAUCUCGAAGCGCGGCGUGCUGUCGACCACGACGGAGGCGCCGCGCAUCGGCUCCAUCCACCUGAUCCUCAGCGGCACCGCGCCGCCGCCGCAGGGCCCGUACCUCCUGGACGCCAAACCCUCCACGGUGUUGACCGAGGAGAGGGCGGCGAAGAUGACGACGUCCAGCGGGAUAGCAUUCGGAGUGUGGACGGGCGUGCCGGACACGGGCAGGGGCGUGCCGGACGCAGCCAGGGACAGGCCGGCCAGCUCCUUUCAGUCGUCGUCGAGCGUGCUGAAGAUGGACCAGUCGACGGUCGAGCACACGGGGGCCGGGCCGGCGGCCGCCCUCGCGCCCCAGGAGACCCCGCCCGCCGGUGGCGCCGGCGGCGUGCUGAAGCGCGGGCUGACGUACACGGCGACCGGGCAGGCGGCAGCGGGGCCGUUUCACAAGGAAAGCAUGCGCACUUUUCAGAAGGAAGUCGUGCACUUGGGGGGCAGCUACCAAGGCGGGCAGCAGGCGGCACUGCAGAGCAUGUUUCAGCCGGGGCCGCCCGCGCCGCCGGCGCCGCAGAUGCAAGUGCCGCAGCCAGGGCCGCAGAGCCCCUUCAUGUCAGCAUCGCAGCCCGCGUUCAGUCAGCCCAGUCAGCCCAGUCAGCCGAGGAGCUUGCAGCUCGGAGUCCACACCAUUGAGCUCAAUAUAACUAGCGGGGAAGGCGGUGUCCCUCAGGUGUCCGCGAGACACGUCUCCCACGCGCCUGCUCAAUACUGAACGUUACCUUAUUCGAAUGGUUUUGCCUCGUCAAUGGGUCAAUGGGUGCCACUUUCCUUAUCUGGCCUGUGAUGGAAUUUCAAAGUAUUUGAGAAGAUGCGAACAAAUGCCACUCUCGGAGACUCUUGCGUCGCUUUGAUUUUGUUUUGUGUCAAUGAGAUGUGUGUUUUGCUCCAGGUUUUCCGACCGAAUGGAGCCCCCUUCUCUCUCUUUCUCUGCAAUACAUUUAGUCAUACUGAAUAAACGGUGGAGUUCUGAAUGGAGUUGAGCACCAGGGCCGGGGUGAGGUACAACCAUCACGUCGCCGUCGGGCACCAUCGAGGGGGCCGUGGACCCGCCUGCCCAAGCUUUCGCCGGCGACGAGGAGCGGGGACGGGGGCUCUCACGACCACACGGGAACGGGUUGAGCAACACCACUUCGGCCUAAUUGACAAUUCCGUCUGAGCGAAUCAAACGGCAAAGCGGAGCUGGCUGCAGCGGUGGCCUGCGGUAGCCUUCCGAGCCUCUGCCUCAGAGCAUCCCGGCCCUGAAGUCCCGACUGUAAACAAAAUCCUUGGAACCCGAACGAGCUAUUUGGAGACAAAACAAAAUCCUUUCGAUACUGAA